UUUCGCAAUGCCCGAAAGGGUGACGAAGCGACGCCGCGUGCGGGAAGAAGGCCUUCGGGUUGUAAACCGCUGUCGGGAGUUAAGAAAUGUAAGGAUGUUAAUAGCAUCUUUGCUUGACUAAGGCUCCGGAGGAAGCCACGGCUAACUCUGUGCCAGCAGGCGCGGUAAUACAGAGGCGGCAAGCGUUGUUCGGAAUUAUUGGGCGUAAAGAGCACGUAGGCGGCUAUGUAAGUCGGUUGUGAAAGCCUUCCGCUCAACGGGAGAACAGCAUCCGAUACUGCAUGGCUUGAGUGCGGGAGGGGAGAGUGGAACUUCUGGUGGAGCGGUGAAAUGCGUAGAUAUCAGAAGGAACGCCGGCGGCGAAAGCGGCUCUCUGGCCCAUAACUGACGCUGAGUGUGCGAAAGCUAGGGGAGCAAACGGGAUUAGAUACCCCGGUAGUCCUAGCCGUAAACGAUGGGCACUAAGUAGAGGGGUUUU
rnacentral:rRNA from 1 species